GAAACAACUGACUCACCUCUCCCCUAUUGAUACCCCUCUGGGCAUUAAAUGCUCGCGAAGUCCCAAGCGACACAUCGGUUAGUGGAACCGGCCGCUUCCUUGACACGUCGCAAGAAGGUUCCAGAAACAUAAUAAAAUCAGAUAAAUGAGAUUGGUUAACCAAGGUCAUCAAAUUGAAUAAAUUUCCGAACCCACGGAUCGCCGAAAGACGAUUCGUCUUGGGAUCAGAUCGGACACACUUAUCUGAGAUCGAAAAGAACUAAUGCGAUAACAAAACAAAAAAAUUCAAAUA
rnacentral:misc_RNA from 1 species